rnacentral:rRNA from 1 species
AUGGUUACCCUUGUCGUUGAGAACGCCUUGCUCUAUCAGCUCGGGGAUCUUGAGCAUGAUAGCGAGGCACGCCGCGGACGCCGGCCAGAAGGAGGCGACCCGGAUGCCGAGCCUCUUGGCGACCUCGAACGACCAGCCCAUGUUGAAGUCGGCGACGAGCCACUUCACCCUGGGCCUCCCGGCCGCCUCCAUUUCCCCGACCAGCGCCUCCAGGUAGGCCGGCAUGUGCCGCGGGUAGGCGUCGACGAGCUUGUUGAGGUCCUUGCGGUCCUCGUCGUCGGCCAGCCCGUCCGGGAUGGAGGCGAGGUGGAUGCCGCGCAGCGCGGCGCCGUCGUCCGGCGCCAUGGCGGCGAGCACGAGCGCGUGGUCCACCUCGGUGUUGACGAAGGUGACCUCGAAGCCGUGGUCGACGAGGCGGUGCGAGAGCUCCAUGAGCGGGACGACGUGGCCCUGGCACGGCAUGGGCAGCACCAGCACGUGACCCUUCGCCAUGGCUGGCCCCCCUCCCUCCCUCCGCGUGCGCCUACUGCUGCAAUGUGUGGCCAACAGGAACAGCUGGGAAUGGGCACGGACACCAGCAUCUCAUAUAUAUAUCCAAAAAUACGUAACGGAAACGGAAAGGAAGAACAUACAGUUAGCGGAAGCAAAACGAAAAUAUAUGGCUCACGUGUGUACCGAGCAUUAUCUAUCUUUUGUCAGUCGAAUGGGCGCCAUGCAAAUGCAUACGUGACCAAGAACAACACGCCAAAUAAUUCAUUGGUUGCACCACGUGCUGGACUUUUUUUCCUUUAUAACACAGGAAGGGACCAGAAGGUCCCCGAGGCUGUUGUAAUAUCAAAAGGUGAUACAACACUACAAAAAAGAUAA